rnacentral:lncRNA from 1 species
GGGGCAGGGUGGGGCAGUCACGCACACAUGCACUGGCCGUCUCUGCCGGGAUGGGGCUGGAAUCGGAGCCGGAGGGAAGCGCUCGCCUCUCCUGGGCCGACGGAGAGCCCGAACGCACACAGGCCGCCGGUCCCUCUGCCCCCCGCUGCCCUGAGCUGUGUGGAGGGGCACAUGUAACACUAGGACAUCGGACAAUAGGAAGAUUUCUUCACAGAAAGGGUGAUUAGAUAUGGGAAUAGACCGCACAGGGAGGUGAUGGAGUCGCCGUCCCUGAAGUUGUCAAGGAAGGACUGGACAUGGCACUUGGUGCCAUGGUUUAGGUGACAUAGUGGUGUUGGGUCUUAGACCGGACUCGAUAAUCUCAGAGGUCUUUUCCAACCUAACUGAUACUCUGUGAUAACGAGCCUCUCCUCCUCAGCGCCCUAUGCACACCUCAGGCCCACACCGACUCCCACGGGCAGGCAGGAGCCCCGGGAGGAGCUCCGCUACCGGCACAGCUCCAUCCUCCGGGGCUCAGUGACGGCAAUUGCCGAAGUGGCGGGCAGCCACCAGGGAGCGGAAAACGAGCCCUCCUUUCCCCGUCCGAGCAGCGCCGGUAAACAGCGACCGCGGGAGGCGGGGCGGGCGCGGCCGUGCGGGGGGGAGCCGUGCUGCGUGAGGGGCGGGCUAUCGGCCCUGCUCCCCUCACGCCCCGCCCGCCACCACCGCGGCGGCCGCCGGGCUGGGCGCGGAUGGAAGCGGACGCUGCUUCCCGCGCGGGCUGUUCCCGGGCAGGCGCUCCCGGGAAAGGCUCUCUCCGGGCAGGAUGAGCCGGGGCAGCCGCUCGCAGGGAAGGCUGUCCCCGGGCAGGCUGUCCCCGGGGAGGGCCGUCAGCCCCGCCGCCAUGUCGGGGGUGGGGGGGGCGCGGGGCUCCCCCAUGGCGCUGACGCGCGUUGCCAUGGCGACGGCCGGGCGGCGUUGGGGGGGGUGGCGGGAUGACAACAAAUAUGGCGGAGAGGAGCAGGACGGCAGAGACGGGGGCAAAGGUGGCGGUGGCGAAGAGCAGAGCAGACCGGCGGUGCAGAGGAGCUCCCCUUACACAAGGAACGACCGCCUGCUUGAAUUAGCAUGA